UGCCAGCAGCCGCGGUAAUACGUAGGGGGCAAGCGUUAUCCGGAUUUACUGGGUGUAAAGGGAGCGCAGGCGGUUUGGCAAGUUGAGAGUGGAAGCAGGGGGCUCAACCCCCUGACUGCUCCCAAAACUGUUAAACUUGAGUAUGGGAGAGGCAGGCGGAAUUCCUAGUGUAGCGGUGAAAUGCUUAGAUAUUAGGAAGAACACCGGUGGCGAAGGCGGCCUGCUGGACCAAAACUGACGCUGAGGCUCGAAAGCGUGGGUAGCAAACAGGAUUAGAUACCCUGGUAGUCCACGCUGUAAACGAUGAAUACUAGGUGCUGGGAGGCAUAAGCCUUUCGGUGCCGUCGCAAACGCAUUAAGUAUUCCACCUGGGGAGUACGUUCGCAAGAAUGAAACUCAAAGGAAUUGACGGGGACCCGCACAAGCGGUGGAGCAUGUGGUUUAAUUCGACGCAACGCGAAGAACCUUACCCGGUCUUGAGAUCC
rnacentral:rRNA from 1 species